rnacentral:lncRNA from 1 species
AACUGAUAAAAGAUGAUGAAGCUUAAGGAAUCUCUUUUAGAAAGCUUUUUCAGAUAUAAAGCUUGUCUUCUUACUGAAAAGGUAUUGAUGAUUUGAUGUUUCAGAUGAUUGAGGAAUGAACGAACAUAACUCAAUGCUUUUUAGCCUUUUCUUUUGGUUUCUUGUUUAUCCUUUUAUUCUCUUGAGUUCCUUAUGUUCUUUAAUGAGUUUAGUGAG